rnacentral:rRNA from 1 species
AUUAUUGCGCAAUGGGGGAAACCCUGACGCGGCCACGCCGCGUGAACGAUGAAGGCCUUCGGGUCGGAAAAUUCUGUCGUCAGGGAAGAAUAAAUUGACGGUACCUGAGGAGGAAGCUCCGGCUAAUUACGUCCCAGCAGCCGCGGUAAUACGUAGGGGGCAACCGUUGUCCGGAAUUAUUGGUCGUAAAGGGUGCGUAGGCGGCCUUUUAAGUCAGAUGUGAAAGACCACCGCUUAACUGUGGGAUUGCAUUUGAAACUGAAGGGCUUGAGUGUCGGAGAGGGUAGUGGAAUUCCCGGAGUAGCGGUGAAAUGCGUAGAUAUCGGGAGGAACACCAGUGGCGAAGGCGACUACCUGGACGACAACUGACGCUGAGGCACGAAAGCUAGGGGAACAAAC